GAUGAACGCUGGCGGCGUGCUUAACACAUGCAAGUCGAACGGAAAGGCUCCUGCUUGCCGGGGUACUCGAGUGGCGAACGGGUGAGUAACACGUGGGUGAUCUGCCCCGCACUUCGGGAUAAGCCUGGGAAACUGGGUCUAAUACCGGAUAGGACCACAUUUUGGAUGGUGUGGUGGAAAGUUUUUCGGUGUGGGAUGAGCUCGCGGCCUAUCAGCUUGUUGGUGGGGUAAUGGCCUACCAAGGCGUCGACGGGUAGCCGGCCUGAGAGGGUGUACGGCCACAUUGGGACUGAGAUACGGCCCAGACUCCUACGGGAGGCAGCAGUGGGGAAUAUUGCACAAUGGGCGCAAGCCUGAUGCAGCGACGCCGCGUGGGGGAUGACGGCCUUCGGGUUGUAAACUCCUUUCGCUAGGGACGAAGCGCAAGUGACGGUACCUGGAGAAGAAGCACCGGCUAACUACGUG
rnacentral:rRNA from 1 species